rnacentral:rRNA from 1 species
UACGGAGGGGGCUAGCGUUGUUCGGAAUUACUGGGCGUAAAGCGCGCGUAGGCGGCUUUGUAAGUUAGAGGUGAAAGCCCGGAGCUUAACUCCGGAACUGCCUUUAAGACUGCAUCGCUAGAAUCGUGGAGAGGUGAGUGGAAUUCCGAGUGUAGAGGUGAAAUUCGUAGAUAUUCGGAAGAACACCAGUGGCGAAGGCGACUCACUGGACACGUAUUGACGCUGAGGUGCGAAAGCCAGGGGAGCAAACGGG